GACGAACGCUGGCGGCGUGCUUAACAAAUGCAAGUCGAACGGAAAGGCCCCAGCUUGCUGGAGUACUCGAGUGGCGAACGGGUGAGUAAAACGUGGGUAAUCUGCCCUGCACUCUGGGAUAAGCCCGGGAAACUGGGUCUAAUACUGGAUAUGACCUUUCUCCUUAUGGGGUUUGGUGGAAAGUUUUUCGGUGUAGGAUGAGCCCGCGGCCUAUCAGCUUGUUGGUGGGGUGAUGGCCUACCAAGGCGACGACGGGUAGCCGGCCUGAGAGGGUGAUCGGCCACAUUGGGACUGAGAUACGGCCCAGACUCCUACGGGAGGCAGCAGUGGGGAAUAUUGCACAAUGGGCGGAAGCCUGAUGCAGCGACGCCGCGUGAGGGAUGACGGCCUUCGGGUUGUAAACCUCUUUCAGCAGGGACGAAGCGUAAGUGACGGUACCUGCAGAAGAAGCACCGGCUAACUACGUG
rnacentral:rRNA from 1 species